rnacentral:rRNA from 1 species
UGGGGAAUUUUGGACAAUGGGCGCAAGCCUGCUCCAGCCAUGCCGCGUGAGAGAUGAAGGCCCUAGGGUUGUAAAGCUCUUUCACCGGUGAAGAUAAUGACGGUAACCGGAGAAGAAGCCCCGGCUAACUUCGUGCCAGCAGCCGCGGUAAUACGAAGGGGGCUAGCGUUGUUCGGAUUUACUGGGCGUAAAGCGCACGUAGGCGGACUUUUAAGUCAGGGGUGAAAUCCCGGGGCUCAACCCCGGAACUGCCUUUGAUACUGGAAGUCUUGAAUAUGGUGGAGGUGAGUGGAAUUCCGAGUGUAGAGGUGAAAUUCGUAGAUAUUCGGAGGAACACCAGUGGCGAAGGCGGCUCACUGGACCAUUACUGACGCUGAGGUGCGAAAGCGUGGGGAGCAAACAGG